UACAGAGGGUGCGAGCGUUGUCCGGAAUCACUGGGCGUAAAGCGUGCGUAGGCGGUUCGUUAAGUCUGUCGUGAAAGCCCUGGGCUCAACCUGGGAAUUGCGAUGGAUACUGGCGAGCUAGAGUACGGUAGAGGAUGGUGGAAUUCCCGGUGUAGCGGUGAAAUGCGUAGAGAUCGGGAGGAACACCCGUGGCGAAGGCGGCCAUCUGGACCAGUACUGACGCUGAGGCACGAAAGCGUGGGGAGCAAACAGG
rnacentral:rRNA from 1 species